UUUCCAGGAUAACUUUCUGUUUCCUUCCUCCUUAACAGCUGAUCAGACUCGGUUAAUGGUUCAUUCUCAUCGGGUCUGCCAAGCCAAAAACCAGGAUGGGCUGAGAGGCAAAAUCCUUGCAGGCAUUAAAAAUGAAUUAAGAGACGCGUCGCCUCGUUAGCCCAUGCUGAGGGUGGCGGUCUAACACAUCCUGUUGUGGAGCGGCUGGUCUCCAUUGCCUGGUGGAAUAGUCACACGUUUAUACCUUCCGCAGCAGGCUAUGCCAUAGUUCUGAAUGGAGUGGCUGGUGGUAAGGUAUCUCUCCACCUGCACGGAAGCAGUGCUGAGGAGACUUUUUCAAUUCAGAGAAUGGAUAUGAAUCUGAAUCUCUUACAUCCCAGGAGGUCAGACGGACUUUUGCUGCUAAACUUUACUCGGAGCAUCCUGGACAAAGGGUCAUCCCCACCGGCAAUGUCUGGAAUGAAGGGCUGGCUCCUCAG